AUUGAACGCUGGAGGCAUGCCUAACACAUGCAAGUCGAACGAGUGGCGGACGGGUGAGUAAUGUCUGGGAAACUGCCUGAUGGAGGGGGAUAACUACUGGAAACGGUAGCUAAUACCGCAUACCAUCAGAGGUGCCCAGAUGGGAUUAGCUUGUUGGUGGGGUAACGGCUCACCAAGGCGACGAUCCCUAGCUGGUCUGAGAGGAGGACCAGCCACACUGGAACUAAGAAACGGUCCAGACUCCUACGGGAGGCAGCAUUGGAGACUAUUGCACAAUGGGUGCAAGACUGACGCAGCCAUGCCGCGUGUGUGAAUAAGGCCUUCGGGUUGUAAAGCACUAUAAGCGAGGAAGCGUUACUCGCAGAAGAAGAAACGGCUAACUCCGUGACAGCAGCCGCGGUAAUAC
rnacentral:rRNA from 1 species